rnacentral:lncRNA from 1 species
CUGUGGUGUAAGAAGUUUGCAUUUUAGUGUGUAAUGAACCAGGGCAGGCAUUUGUCACAGGCUGAGAGGAAUGACUGGAAGGUUGUUAUGUAACAAAGCAGAAUCUGCUGUCCCGAGUGUUCUCAGCUCACUGCUAUCUCUGCAGCUCAGUUCAGACACACGCAAGCUCAGCUUGAGCCACGCUCAGUAUGACACUUUGUGAAAGCUUCAGAAUGCAAGAACUUCUUAAACUGAUUGUCCUUCCAACCAAAAACUUCUGUCUAUGAUUAGAUAGUUGUGAUUGUAUUAAGCGAGCUGAAAAUGCAAUUCCUCAAGCUCUGAACAUUUCUGAAUUAGUACAGUGGAAGAAAAGUUGUUCUGCCCAGAAAAAAACCCCUGGUUUCUGCACGGAAAAGUGGAACUGCAGUUCAAGCUCCAGCUUCCAGCAGUUGAAAACUUGGACAAUUGCUUUGGGAACAUUUCUCUUCAAAAGGCUCAUCACAGAGGUAUGGAUAUUUAUCCACUGCAAGGAAGCAUGAAUUGUGUGCUUGUGUUCUCACUGAGGUCGCAAAAGGAGGAUUUAGCCAUCAUUAAGUUAGACUGGGAAAAUAUUCAGAGUACAAACUACAAAACGAAAGUUUCCUAUUGAGAUCUUUCCUAAUAAGUUUGCUUGCAUUCGCUCAGGUUAAGUAGAUCGAUAUAUAAAAUUCUC